AUGGGGAUGUUGGUGCUGUUCAAGAGGCCUGCUGGGCUCGCCCUUUUCAAGGUUCUGAACCAGGGCAAGCUCGACAAGGUCGAGGAUCUAUGGAAGGAGUUCACGACUCGGGCUCGACGAGAAAGGUUGGUGAAAUUACAACAAAUCUGGAGUUGUUGCUUUCAUGCUGAUGAGGGGUGCAGAACUAACUUAAGGAUGUGUCGUUGUCUCUGCAAAGGGAGUUUUUGCUUGGUGCGUCACUUCCUAUUCGGAGAUGCAACGUCGUGUUUGCCCGGGUAG
rnacentral:rRNA from 1 species